AAAUAAUAAUUAUCAUAAUCUUUUUUGAUUGUGGAAUUGGGCCUUUAUUUCAUUUUAAUGGUUUAUGGCCUCAAAUUUACGUUACCGCUUGUUUAAUAUGAAAUUCGACCGAAUGGAGCAAUUAAACAAAUUCUCUCGUUAGGCGGAUUCUCAUCAAGCAAUUACGAUUUUUUGGCCGACUCGGCACUUUUUAAAAGCGCUUGGCCGAGAUCGUGAGUUUUUUAACAAA
rnacentral:misc_RNA from 1 species